UACGGGGGAGCAAGCGUUGGUUCGGAUUUACUGGGCGUAAAGGGCGCGUAGGCGGCCACCGCAAGUCGACUGUGAAAUCUCCGGGACCUUAACUCGGAACGGUCAGCUGAUACUGCUUGCUAGAGUGCAGAAGGGCAAUCGGAAUUCUGGUGUAGCGGUGAAAUGCGUAGAUAUCAAGAGGAACACCUGAGGUGAAGACGGUGCUGGCUGACACGUGACGCUGAGGCGCGAAGCUAGGGAGCGAACGGG
rnacentral:rRNA from 1 species